GUGCCAGCAGCCGCGGUAAUACGAAGGGACCUAGCGUAGUUCGGAAUUACUGGGCUUAAAGAGUUCGUAGGUGGUUGAAAAAGUUAGUGGUGAAAUCCCAGAGCUUAACUCUGGAACUGCCAUUAAAACUUUUCAGCUAGAGUAUGAUAGAGGAAAGCAGAAUUUCUAGUGUAGAGGUGAAAUUCGUAGAUAUUAGAAAGAAUACCAAUUGCGAAGGCAGCUUUCUGGAUCAUUACUGACACUGAGGAACGAAAGCAUGGGUAGCGAAGAGGAUUAGAUACCCUCGUAGUCCAUGCCGUAAACGAUGUGUGUUAGACGUUGGAAAUUUAUUUUCAGUGUCGCAGGGAAACCGAUAAACACACCGCCUGGGGAGUACGACCGCAAGGUUAAAACUCAAAGGAAUUGGCGG
rnacentral:rRNA from 1 species